GUGGGGAAUUUUGGACAAUGGGCGCAAGCCUGAUCCAGCAAUGCCGCGUGCAGGAAGAAGGCCUUCGGGUUGUAAACUGCUUUUGUACGGAACGAAACGGUCCUGGCUAAUACCUGGGGCUAAUGACGGUACCGUAAGAAUAAGCACCGGCUAACUACGUGCCAGCAGCCGCGGUAAUACGUAGGGUGCGAGCGUUAAUCGGAAUUACUGGGCGUAAAGCGUGCGCAGGCGGUGCUGUAAGACAGGCGUGAAAUCCCCGGGCUCAACCUGGGAAUUGCGCUUGUGACUGCAGUGCUGGAGUGCGGCAGAGGGGGAUGGAAUUCCGCGUGUAGCAGUGAAAUGCGUAGAUAUGCGGAGGAACACCGAUGGCGAAGGCAAUCCCCUGGACCUGUACUGACGCUCAUGCACGAAAGCGUGGGGAGCAAACAGGAUUAGAAACCCUGGUAGUCC
rnacentral:rRNA from 1 species